ACAUUUAUAAAGUUUAUCUUCAGUGUGUAUUCUCAUGUGUCUCUCUAAGCCACGAAGUUCACAUUGCUCUUUCUCACACGUGGCAUUUAUAAAGUUUAUCUUCAGUGUGUAUUCUCAUGUGUCUCUCUAAGCCACGAAGUUCACAUUGCUCUUUCUCACACGUUGCAUUUAUAAGGUUUAUCUUCAGUGUGUAUUCUCAUGUGUCUCUCUAAGCCACGAAGUUCACAUUGCUCUUUCUCACACGUUGCAUUUAUAAGAUUUAUCUUCAGAGUGUAUUCUCAUGUAUCUCUCUAAGCCACGAAGUUCACAUAGCUCUUUCUCACAAGUGACAUUUAUAAGGUUUAUUGCCAGUGUGUGUUUCAUGUGUUUCAUUAAGAUUCCAGUCGUCUGGCCAAACCCUUUACCACAUUUAAAACAUUUAAGGUUUAUCUCCAGUGUGUAUUCUCCUGUGCCUAUGUAAAUUUGAACGAUCACUAAACCCUUUA